rnacentral:rRNA from 1 species
UACAGGGGGGGCAAGCGUUGUUCGGAAUUACUGGGCGUAAAGGGUUCGUAGGUGGCUUGCUAAGUCAGACGUGAAAUCCCUCAGCUUAACUGGGGAACUGCGUCUGAGACUGGCGAGCUUGAGUGCAGGAGAGGAACGCGGAAUUCCAGGUGUAGCGGUGAAAUGCGUAGAUAUCUGGAGGAACACCGGUGGCGAAGGCGGCGUUCUGGACUGCAACUGACACUGAGGAACGAAAGCCAGGGGAGCAAACGGG